rnacentral:rRNA from 1 species
CAGCCGCCGCGGUAAUGCGUAGGUCCCGAGCGUUGUCCGGAUUUAUUGGGCGUAAAGCGAGCGCAGGCGGUUAGAUAAGUCUGAAGUUAAAGGCUGUGGCUUAACCAUAGUACGCUUUGGAAACUGUUUAACUUGAGUGCAAGAGUGGAGAGUGGAAUUCCAUGUGUAGCGGUGAAAUGCGUAGAUAUAUGGAGGAACACCGGUGGCGAAAGCGGCUCUCUGGCUUGUAACUGACGCUGAGGCUCGAAAGCGUGGGGCGCAAACAGGAUUAGAGACCCCUGUAGUCCCUGUCUCUUAUACA